rnacentral:rRNA from 1 species
GAUGAACGCUGGCGGCGUGCCUAAUACAUGCAAGUCGAGCGAACGGACGAGAAGCUUUCUUCUCUGAUAUUAACGGCGGACGGGUGAGUAACACGUGGAUAACCUACCUAUUAGACUGAGAUAACUUCGGGAAACCGGAGCUAAUACCGGGUAAUCUUUUGAACCGCAUGGUUCAAAAGUGAAUGACGGUCUUGCUGUCACUUAUAGAUGGCUCGGCACGACAUUAGCAACUUGGUAAGGUAACGGCUUACCAAGGCAACGAUGCAUAGCCGACCAGGGAGGCUGACCGGCCACACUAGACUCGAGACAUGGGCGCAGCGCCUAGGGGAGGAAGCAGACGGGAAUAUCCCCCGAUGAGCGAAAGCCUGACGGAGCAAAGCCGCGAGGGUGGCGGCGGUUUUCGCAGCAUACAGCUCUGGUACUGGGGACGAACAGACGUGUACGUAAAUGGGCACAUUGUGACGGGACCUAAUAAGAAAGCAACGGCUAACUACGUG